rnacentral:lncRNA from 1 species
UGGCCAAUUUAGAAGAUUAGAUCUUGAAUUAGGUUGCUUAGCAUUUUGAUUUAGCUCAUGCUAGUUAGAUCAGUCAUAUGAUGACUGAUUAGAUGAGAUUUAAACCCAAACCUUCCCAUAAAUAUUAAGUCCAUAGGUUUUCCACUGUUGUAGUGUGCGGGUAUGUUACUGGCAUUGAUUAUUCUCGAUUGGUCACAGUGGUUCAGUUGCA